AGAGUUUGAUCCUGGCUCAGAAUGAACGUUGGCGGCGUGGAUUAGGCAUGCAAGUCGAGCGGCAAGGUUCCUUCGGGGGCCCUAGAGCGGCGGAAGGGAUAGGAACAUAUAGAUAACAUGCCUCUUAGGUCGGGAUAGCGUCUGGAAACGGGCGAUAAUACCGAAUGUGGUCUUAGGACUAAAGGUGCGAUUCCCCUAAGAGAUUGGUCUAUAUCCUAUUAGCUAGUUGGUAGGGUAACGGCCUACCAAGGCGAUGAUGGGUACGUGGCGUGAGAGCGCGACCACGAUCACUGGGACUGAGACACUGCCCAGACGCCUACGGGCGGCUGCAGUCGAGAAUCUUCGGCAAUGGACGGAAGUCUGACCGAGCGACGCCGCGUGUAUGAUGAAGGUCUUCGGAUUGUAAAAUACUGUCGAUAGGGCGGAAAUUUAGGGGCGUAAUCGUUUCUAUUUGACCUAUCUUUUGAGGAAGGGCGGGCUAAGUUCGUGCC
rnacentral:rRNA from 1 species